GGGACCGUGGUGUCAACGGGAACACGCCUGCCCUGCAAGCAGGAGUUGAGGGUUCGAGUCCCUCCGGCUCCACCA
rnacentral:tRNA from 2 species